CCCAUCAGACCCUUCAUCUCCAAAAGAGACUCUAACACCUAACGCCAAAAAGAGCUGGUAGCCGUCCUUGACAGAAGAAAAUCAAAAAACCUAGAUCCCUACCAAGAUUAAAUCAGUCGUUUUUUGGAAACUAAGACGUAGACACACUUUGAGAGACAUGCGCUGUUUUUUUUUUUGGCAAAAUAACGGACCCUUUCCCCAUUUUUGAACUUAGCCGUCACUCCCAUUCAAGAGCUUGCAUUGACCACCAUCUUUUCCAACCAAUCACUACUCUCUCGGCCACGUCCUUGGGGAAAAGGUCUCCAAAAUAGCAAGUAAGGGAGUGGUUCAAUAGUUGGACUUCCUCACUAAGAAACCAAAUUCCGGCGGAGCUCCCCAUCUCACAUGUGAUUCGUGGCUCUUGCUUCAAUAUAUGUCUGCUGCCAUUCGUCAUUUAACAAUAUUCUGACAGUUACUGUUUGGAUUUGUUUGUCAUUGAAAUUUUGAUUUCCGGCGAGCUCGAGUUUGUUGCUGUUUAUGGGCUUCCGUUCGUGGUUCCGUUUCGAGGUACUGUUCUAGCCCGUUCCACAGUUUUGCUCGAAUAAUUGUAAAGCUCAGGUUCAUUUUGAAAUCCAGUCUUAAACUCUACAUCUCUUUAUUUCUUCUCUAAUAUGAAUCUGCUGUGUUAGUUUAUUUUGCAUUUUAGUUAAUAUUAUGUGAUGAUUUGCAAUGUUUACUUCAAAUUUGUUUGAGUUGGUUCUUUGUUUUAAAUUUUUAUUAUUAUAAAAUAGUUGAACUCACGUUAUUCUAAUGCAAAUAUAUGCUGAAGAAUGAGAUUGCUUAAUAGGUGAAUGAGUCUAGCUAGAAUGCCUUACCGAUACGUAUUUAGACUGUUUCACUUAAUUGGAUUGAUGGGUUGGCAUUUAUCUCGUAAAUUGGAAUUAAUUUAAAUAUGGGUUUUUGACACAGUUUAUGCAUUGAAUAGGACAUAUAUUAAGUUUACUCAUGUUUUAUUUUCGGACAUUGUAAAAUUUAUUUUCUUUAUCAAUAUAAUUUAAUCAAGUUAGUUAGUUAACAUUAUAUCAUACUUUUAGGCGCAUUUUUAGUCUAUUAUCAUGAUUAUGUAAACGUUCGCAUGACAUAAUUAUAAUUUUUCUAAAAAUAAAACCGGAGUAUGUGUUCACGCAACUUUGUCCAAACUUCCUUAAUAAUAAUAAAGCGUUAUUAAUUGUGGACACGUACGCGUGACAUGAUUCUUGACGCGCCAAACAAAAUGAGUACACGUGCGCGUGACUCGCUUUAGGCUAAUUUCUUAAUUAAAAGCGGUUAAGGGGUGAAUGCACAUAGGUUCUAAAAUGAGUAAUUAGACAAUUUUAUUAAGCCAUGUAUGAUCAAAGUGACCGUGCUAGAACCACGAAACUCGGAAAUGCCUAACACCUUCUCCCAGGUUAACAGAAUUCCUUACCCGGAUUUCUGUGUUUGCAGACCGCAAAUAGAGUCAAAUUUCCUCGAUUCGGAAUUUUAAACCGGUGACUUGGGACACCAUAAAUUAUCCCAAGUGGCGACUCUGAUUUUGAAAAAAAUAAUCCCGUUUCGGUUGUCACUUAAAGUGGAAAAAAUUCUCUUACUCCCUUUUCGGGGGCGGUAAAAAGGAGGUGUGACAGCUCUGGUGACUCUGCUUGGGAUAAGAACACAGAAUCUCUAGUUCAGGGUUCAGAGAAUUCAAGCUUGUUAAAAUGAUUUUUACUUGGCUUCAUUUAUUAUUAAUAUUUACUGUAUACUGUGAACCUUUUGUGAUAAAUGCUAUCUGUUUACCGCUUUAAUAUUGUCUGAAUUGUUAUAACUGUCUUCUUACGCCACCCCUCUGAGUCUUCUGAAAAUGGUGCACACGUUCGCGUGACCCGCUUUUUCUGUAGAAAUUAUACCAAAUAGAAC
rnacentral:lncRNA from 1 species